UAAGGAAUAUUGGACAAUGGACGCAAGUCUGAUCCAGCCAUGCCGCGUGAAGGAUGAAUGCCCUCUGGGUUGUAAACUUCUUUUAUAGGGGAAGAAAGAUACUUUUUUUAAGGUAGUUGACGGUACCCUAUGAAUAAGCACCGGCUAACUCCGUGCCAGCAGCCGCGGUAAUACGGAGGGUGCAAGCGUUAUCCGGAUUUACUGGGUUUAAAGGGUGCGUAGGCGGGCAUGUAAGUCAGUGGUGAAAUACCGGAGCUUAACUUCGGAACUGCCAUUGAUACUAUAUGUCUUGAAUAUUGUGGAGGUAAGCGGAACAUGUCAUGUAGCGGUGAAAUGCUUAGAUAUGACAUAGAACACCAAUUGCGAAGGCAGCUUACUACAUAUAAAUUGACGCUGAGGCACGAAAGCGUGGGGAUCAAACA
rnacentral:rRNA from 1 species